rnacentral:rRNA from 1 species
GACGUGACUUCAGAGUUUGAUCCUGGCUCAGGACGAACGCUGGCGGCGUGCCUAACACAUGCAAGUCGAGCGAGGAGGAGGAAGCUUGCUUCCGAAUCCUAGCGGCGGACGGGUGAGUAACGCGUGAGCAAUCUGCCUUUUACAGGGGGAUAACGCAUCGAAAGAUGUGCUAAUACCGCGUAAGACCACAGCACCGCAUGGUGCAGGGGUCAAAGGAGCAAUCCGGUAAAAGAUGAGCUCGCGUCCGAUUAGCUAGUUGGUGAGAUAACAGCCCACCAAGGCGACGAUCGGUAGCCGACCUGAGAGGGUGAUCGGCCACAUUGGAACUGAGACACGGUCCAG